rnacentral:rRNA from 1 species
CCUACGGGAGGCUGCAGUGAGGAAUAUUGGUCAAUGGACGCAAGCCUGAACCAGCCAAGUCGCGUGCAGGAAGACGGUCCUAUGGGUUGUAAACCGCUUUUGUCUUAGGGCAAACAACGCCACGCGUAGCGUUCCGAGAGUACACGACGAAAAAGCAUCGGCUAACUCCGUGCCAGCAGCCGCGGUAAUACGGAGGAUGCGAGCGUUAUCCGGAUUUAUUGGGUUUAAAGGGUGCGCAGGCGGAAGAUAAAGUCAGCGGUAAAAUAGAGAGGCUCAACCCCUGAGAGCCGUUGAAACUGGUGUUCUUGAGUGAGCGAGAAGUAUGCGGAAUGUGUGGUGUAGCGGUGAAAUGCAUAGAGAUCACGCAGAACUCCGAUUGCGAAGGCAGCAUACCGGCGCUUAACUGACGUUCAUGCACGAAAGUGUGGGUAUCGAACAGGAUUAGAUACCCUAGUAGUC